GAUGAACGCUGGCGGCGUGCCUAAUACAUGCAAGUCGAGCGAAUGGAUUAAGAGCUUGCUCUUAUGAAGUUAGCGGCGGACGGGUGAGUAACACGUGGGUAACCUGCCCAUAAGACUGGGAUAACUCCGGGAAACCGGGGCUAAUACCGGAUAACAUUUUGAACCGCAUGGUUCGAAAUUGAAAGGCGGCUUCGGCUGUCACUUAUGGAUGGACCCGCGUCGCAUUAGCUAGUUGGUGAGGUAACGGCUCACCAAGGCAACGAUGCGUAGCCGACCUGGGUGGGUGCGCGGCCUGCCUGGGACUGAGACACGGCCCAGACGCCUACGGGAGGCAGCAGUAGGGAAUCUUCCGCAAUGGACGAAAGUCGGACGGAGCAACGCCGCGUGAGUGAUGAAGGCUUUCGGGUCGUAAAACUCUGUUGUUAGGGAAGAACAAGUGCUAGUUGAAUAAGCUGGCACCUUGACGGUACCUAACCAGAAAGCCACGGCUAACUACGUGCCAGCAGCCGCAGUAA
rnacentral:rRNA from 1 species